rnacentral:rRNA from 1 species
CUGGGCGUAAGAGUUGCGUAGGUGGCAUAGCAAGUCGGUAGUGAAAUUGUGUGGCUCAACCAUACACCCAUUACUGAAACUGCUAAGCUAGAGCAUAGUAGAGGUAGCUGGAAUUCCUAGUGUAGGAGUGAAAUCCGUAGAUAUUAGGAGGAACACCGAUGGCGUAGGCAGGCUACUGGGCUAUUGCUGACACUAAGGCACGAAAGCGUGGGGAGCGAACGGGAUUAGAUACCCCGGUAGUCCACGCCGUAAACGAUGGAUGCUAGCUGUUAUGAGUAUCGACCCUUGUAGUAGCGAAGCUAACGCGUUAAGCAUCCCGCCUGUGGAGUACGAGCGCAAGCUUAAAACAUAAAGGAAUUGACGGGGACCCGCACAAGCGGUGGAGCGUGUUGUUUAAUUCGAUGAUAAGCGAAGAACCUUACCAAGGCUUGACAUCCCUGGAAUUUCUCCGAAAGGAGAGAGUGCCUUCGGGAAUCAGGUGACAGGUGAUGCAUGGCCGUCGUCAGCUCGUGUCGUGAGAUGUUUGGUUAAGUCCAUCAACGAGCGCAACCCUUGUAAAUAGUUGAAUUUUUCUAUUUAGACUGCCUCGGUAACGGGGAGGAAGGAGGGGAUGAUGUCAGGUCAGUAU